rnacentral:sRNA from 1 species
GGGGCCACGGCUGGGUGCAGAAGCGGGUGGAGUUGGGUCUGGGCGAGCCCUUUUGUUUUCCCGCCGUCUCCACUCUGUCUCACUAUCUCGACCUCAGGUAGCGGUAGUGAAGAUGAAGCAGACGGGCCAGGUGUAUGCCAUGAAGAUCAUGAACAAGUGGGACAUGCUGAAGAGGGGCGAGGUGAGGGGCUGGGUGGACGUGGGGGGCUUUGAGGAUCCGCGCCCCGUCUCCGGCUGCAGCUCCUCCGGGUGCCCUGCAGGUGUCGUGCUUCCGUGAGGAGAGGGACGUGUUGGUGAAUGGGGACCGGCGGUGGAUCACGCAGCUGCACUUCGCCUUCCAGGAUGAGAACUACCUGUACCUGGUCAUGGAGUAUUACGUGGGCGGGGACCUGCUGACACUGCUGAGCAAGUUUGGGGAGCGGAUUCCGGCCGAGAUGGCGCGCUUCUACCUGGCGGAGAUUGUCAUGGCCAUAGACUCGGUGCACCGGCUUGGCUACGUGCACAGGGACAUCAAACCCGACAACAUCCUGCUGGACCGCUGUGGCCACAUCCGCCUGGCCGACUUCGGCUCUUGCCUCAAGCUGCGGGCAGAUGGAACGGUGCGGUCGCUGGUGGCUGUGGGCACCCCAGACUACCUGUCCCCCGAGAUCCUGCAGGCUGUGGGCGGUGGGCCUGGGACAGGCAGCUACGGGCCCGAGUGUGACUGGUGGGCGCUGGGUGUAUUCGCCUAUGAAAUGUUCUAUGGGCAGACGCCCUUCUACGCGGAUUCCACGGCGGAGACCUAUGGCAAGAUCGUCCACUACAAGGUGAGCACGGCCCCAGGGAGACCUGGCCUCUCCCGGUAGGCGCUCCCAGGCUAUCGCCUCCUCUCCCUCUGAGCAGGAGCACCUCUCUCUGCCGCUGGUGGACGAAGGGGUCCCUGAGGAGGCUCGAGACUUCAUUCAGCGGUUGCUGUGUCCCCCGGAGACACGGCUGGGCCGGGGUGGAGCAGGCGACUUCCGGACACAUCCCUUCUUCUUUGGCCUCGACUGGGAUGGUCUCCGGGACAGCGUGCCCCCCUUUACACCGGAUUUCGAAGGUGCCACCGACACAUGCAACUUCGACUUGGUGGAGGACGGGCUCACUGCCAUGGUGAGCGGGGGCGGGGAGACACUGUCGGACAUUCGGGAAGGUGCGCCGCUAGGGGUCCACCUGCCUUUCGUGGGCUACUCCUACUCCUGCAUGGCCCUCAGGGACAGUGAGGUCCCAGGCCCCACACCCAUGGAACUGGAGGCCGAGCAGCUGCUUGAGCCACACGUGCAAGCGCCCAGCCUGGAGCCCUCGGUGUCCCCACAGGAUGAAACAGCUGAAGUGGCAGUUCCAGCGGCUGUCCCUGCGGCAGAGGCUGAGGCCGAGGUGACGCUGCGGGAGCUCCAGGAAGCCCUGGAGGAGGAGGUGCUCACCCGGCAGAGCCUGAGCCGGGAGAUGGAGGCCAUCCGCACGGACAACCAGAACUUCGCCAGUCAACUACGCGAGGCAGAGGCUCGGAACCGGGACCUAGAGGCACACGUCCGGCAGCUGCAGGAGCGGAUGGAGUUGCUGCAGGCAGAGGGAGCCACAGCUGUCACGGGGGUCCCCAGUCCCCGGGCCACGGAUCCACCUUCCCAUAUGGCCCCCCGGCCGUGGCUGUGGGCCAGUGCCCGCUGGUGGGGCCAGGCCCCAUGCACCGCCGCCACCUGCUGCUCCCUGCCAGGGUCCCUAGGCCUGGCCUAUCGGAGGCGCUUUCCCUGCUCCUGUUCGCCGUUGUUCUGUCUCGUGCCGCCGCCCUGGGCUGCAUUGGGUUGGUGGCCCACGCCGGCCAACUCACCGCAGUCUGGCGCCGCCCAGGAGCCGCCCGCGCUCCCUGAACCCUAGAACUGUCUUCGACUCCGGGGCCCCGUUGGAAGACUGAGCGCCUGGGGCACGGCACAGAAGCCGCGCCCACCGCCUGCCAGUUCACACCGCUCCGAGCGUGGGUCUCCGCCCAGCUCCAGUCCUGUGAUCCGGGCUCGCCCCCUAGCGGCCGGGGAGGGAGGGGCCGGGUCCGCGGCCGGCGAACGGGGUUCGAAGGGUCCUUGUAGCCAGGAAUGCUGCUGCUGCUGCUGCUGCUGCUGCUGGUGGGGGGAUCACAGACCAUUUCUUUCUUUCGGCCAGGCUGAGGCCCUGACGUGGAUGGGCAAACUGCAGGCCUGAGAAGGCAGCAAGCCAGGCCGUCCGUGUUCCAUCCUCCACGCACCCCCACCUAUCGUUGGUUCGCAAAGUGCAAAGCUUUCUUGUGCAUGACGCCCUGCUCUGGGGAGCGUCUGGCGCGAUCUCUGCCUGCUUACUCGGGAAAUUUGCUUUUGCCAAACCCGCUUUUUCGGGGAUCCCGCGCCCCGCUCCUCACUUGCGCUGCUCUCGGAGCCCCAGCCGGCUCCGCCCGCUUCGGCGGUUUGGAUAUUUAUUGACCUCGUCCUCCGACUCGCUGACAGGCUACAGGACCCCCAACACCCCAAUCCACGUUUUGGAUGCACUGAGACCCCGACAUUCCUCGGUAUUUAUUGUCUGUCCCCACCUAGGACCCCCACCCCCGACCCUCGCGAAUAAAAGGCCCUCCAUCUGCCC